AAGGGAGACCUACCCAUUCAGAUUCUGAAAGCACAGAGCAAAUAGGGACUGAAUUGGUCAUCCCAAGGUCGUUCGAGGUAUGAGUGUAAGGCUUUCAAACUAUUAAAGGUUCGGAUAUGGGCUAUUAGCUCAGGUGGUUAGAGCGCACCCCUGAUAAGGGUGAGGUCCCUGGUUCGAGUCCAGGAUGGCCCACCUUAGCGAUUAAUAUUGCACGGGGGUUUAGCUCAGUUGGUAGAGCGCCUGCUUUGCAAGCAGGAUGUCAGCGGUUCGAGUCCGCUAACCUCCACUGGAGUUGAUAGAGCAAGCGAGAUUGAGGAACAGUUCAGCAACUUAUCUAGGGAAUGCUAGAGAGCCUGCUGGGAUUGUCCAGCCAGAACCAUGAAAACUGCAUAGCGAAAGAAGAUUUCUGUCAGGUAGUAGAGAUUCAUUUGAUUAUUGUUAAAUGAAUCAACACAGACACCAAUGAAUUUUGU
rnacentral:tRNA from 1 species